rfam:Dipodomys ordii contig_63406, whole genome shotgun sequence.
GGGAAGGUGGCUCAGUGGUAGAGUGCUUGCCUUGCAUGCAUGAGGCCAUGAGUUUGAUUCCUUACCA